CCUACGGGCGGCAGCAGUGAGGAAUAUUGGUCAAUGGGAGAGAUCCUGAACCAGCCAAGCCGCGUGAGGGAAGACGGCCCUAUGGGUUGUAAACCUCUUUUGUCGGAGAACAAAACCAGGGACGUGUCCCGGACUGCGUGUAUCCGAAGAAAAAGCAUCGGCUAACUCCGUGCCAGCAGCCGCGGUAAUACGGAGGAUGCGAGCGUUAUCCGGAUUUAUUGGGUUUAAAGGGUUCGUAGGCGGUCCGUUAAGUCAGCGGGAAAAUUGCGGGGCUCAACCCCGUCGAGCCGUUGAGACUGGCAGACUUGAGUUGGCGAGAAGUACGCGGAAUGCGCGGUGUAGCGGUGAAAUGCAUAGAUAUCGCGCAGAACUCCGAUUGCGAAGGCAGCGUACCGGCGCCAGACUGACGCUGAGGCACGAAAGCGUGGGGAUCGAACAGGAUUAGAUACCCCAGUAGUC
rnacentral:rRNA from 1 species